GAGACAAAUCUUGGCCCUUGUUUUGGAAGAACGAUUGUUCUAAACUGGUAGAGCUCACGUUAGUGUGCUUCAGAGUAUCCCUAAGGCGCAGGCCACUGAGUUCCUCCACCAGUUUCUCACUCUGCACUUCUAAUGCACUUGUAGGUAAUGCUAAUAUCACUCUGUAGGGACCAUAAUUUGGGGAUCUUAAAGCCUCAUGUUGCCUCUGGUUAGUGCAAAAAGCUCUAGGAGGGAUCGCUGGCCCUUGAAAAAUCAGUGAUUGUCAUUUUAGAUGCCAAAAUAACUAAAGGGAAGUAGCUGCUCUCUGUAAUCUGGUCCCUGGCUGAGAGAGGCUGACAGAGGUUUAAAAAAAAUUGUUUAUAAAGGUGAAAAGUGGGAGGGAAAACAGAGCCACAAUGUGACACACAGGCCGUGAUCAAGAGCCUCACUGUGAGCUCCCUGGCCCCUCUGAACGCUGCCAUCCAGGGGAAACGGCCCCAAGGAAAGGGAAGCCCGUGGAUCCCGAAGCACAGACUGCGCCCUGUUUUUCUGCACACACCUCCCUCCCCACUCUUCUCCAGGAGGUUGCUGACUGGUUAGAACUGGCAGGUACGCAGAAGCAAGCUCACAGGGCGACACGGGUGAAGCAGUGGUUAACAAGGAGGAAGAAAUGGUCAGGAACAAAAUUUUGGCAGGUGGGGAGCGUGCAUCAUGAAAUGAACCACCCUCAACCCACUGGGACCUCUGGGGAGCCUAACAGAGACACCAGGAACCCAAGGGAACACGGCCCAUGGAAAGGUGGCUGAAUUCAUGGCAGCAAAUGUGCAUAAGAUCUGCUGAUGGAGAACAAGAAUUUGAAAUAUUAGUGAAAGAAGACGGGAAAAGCUGCCAUGUGAAUAGGUGUUGCAAAGGCUAAGGGGAAGGAGGGUGCUCAACGUGGCCAAAAGCUUCAAACAGAACAGAAAAUCAGCCAGGAGAAGAGCGGCCCAGCUCGACCUGCUGCCCACCCGGCAGCCUCAUUCCAAAGCCUGAGCUCUGUGCCUGGGGGGACAUGUGAGCAUCUCCACGCUCUCAGGGGCUCAGCAAGACUUCCUAAUGACCCGCUCAGUCCAGAGCGCUGAGGAAGUGUUGUCCAGGAGUAGAGAUCGCUGAGCAAAAACAUUUUGAAGCAGAAAAUUAUUUUGGUUAAUGAGUCACCAGGAUGUAAAAAGGCCUCCUCUGCAUGUACUCCCACCAUGACUCACUGUCACAGACCCCAAGUGUUGGGGUCUCUAAAGCCAUGAGCCAACGUAAAUCUCCCUUCAAAGUUGAUUUCUGUGAGGUGUUUCGUCACAGCAAUGGAAAGUGACUGAAGCACCCAAAGGAAAGCCAUAAAUGAAGCAAAUGAAGGCUGGGGGAAGCCCCCAGUGCAACACCAAUAGGAACACACGGGCCUAACCAUAAAGCAGGUCAUGCAGAGGGAGUGACCAGGUCAUGCCGAGGGAGAUGGGAAGAAGACCGCCAACUAAGGAACUUUGGAAAACAGGACGUGCCUAUGUAGACACCUACAACUUAGGAUGGUUCAACUUAGGAUUUUUUUUGACAUUAUGAUGGAAAUCCCAUACACACUCAGUAGAAACCAGUCUUUGAAUUUUGAUCUUUGCCCAGACUCACGAUACGUGGUGCAGUCCUCUCUGGAGAUGCUGGGUGGCAGCAGCAAGCCCCAGCUCCCAGCCGUACGAUCCUGAGGGUGAACCAGCGCUUCUCCAGUGUACUGUGCUGCGGAGGUCUGAGGUCAGUGAGAAUUGGAAGUCAGCACCUUCACCGCGAUGUCCAAGUGAACCUCACCGGGAAGCAGACGUAACAAUCUGAUGCCUCUCCUCUUAUUUUGCACCAGGAAGGCAGCAAAAUCCCUCUUGGGGUUUCCUUGCCAAAAAACAAGUACCCCAAAUUAAACACAGGCAAGAGCAGACACACUUAGAUGAGAGACUUGCUUAAGGUGUCAAGGUCACGAAAGACAUGGAAAGACCCAGGAACCGUCCCGGAUCGGAUGAGAUCAAGACAACUCGGUGGACCUUGGACCAGAAAAAUGAACACUAAUGAAAAAAAACUGGUGACUUUUGAACCAGGCUCAUUUGAGACUGGUUAAUAGCAUCAUAUUAUAUGCUAUUAUUACUUUUUGUUUUGAUAAUUGUCCUAUGAUUAUAUAAUGUGUAGCAUUUGGAAAAGCUGUGUAAAGUGUGGGUAGACCGAAACACUUUGUACUAUUUUGCAAGGUUUUUCAGAGGCUGUAAUCAUUUCAAAAUGAAAUGAAUAUGAAAAAAUGAAAACCUAAUACUACUUUUUAAAACUAGAUGAAUCCAAGCAGGAGCCUUAGAAGGCAGAAAAACGGGCAGUAAAAGCCCAGUUUCAGAUGGAGAAAACUGGAAUUUCACCCCGGUCUCAUCUGUAGCCAAUCCCUCAUUGGACAGUGUGACAGUCAACAAGGAAAUGACGAUUCUAAGAGAGCAUCCUGCACACAGAGCUGCCUUUUCUACCACCUUCUCUUUUUCUGGGUGUGGUUCCACAUUCUCCGGCGCUCAGCCCCUUCUUCCUGGAUGCCCAUGCUGCUUUACAUCUCUGAGCUCAGCACCUUCCCCUUGUCUGUCCUUUUUAGCCAAAGUCUGAGCUGCUUUCUUGCUUAGUGAUGCCUACAGCUACAGCUUUUUCUUAGACUCACACCUUUUAUUCCUUUAAAACAAAAAAAUAAAUCUGUGGUCAAAGUUUGUGCCUUAAUGGUAAUUGACAUCCCAUUACGAAGGAGCUUCCUCAAUAACAGCAAUGAUUUUUCACAAAAGGGAUGAAAGGAAGGUCCUUCGGGUCCUGUGCCUGAAAUAGGAUGGAAGUAAUAAAGGAGAAGGAGGAAGAAGAACCCAAGGUCCCGAGGGCAGAAGAUUUUCUUCUGAAACAGUGGCUCUCAAACCACAAUCUCAACGGGGUGUUGGGCAGAAGUGUUCAGUGACUGAAAUAGUGGCUCUGUUUUCACAGUUUAGUGGAGGGGGGAAAAAAACAGAGUGAGUUGAAGUCUUCCUCUUAAUCUGCCUGGGGCUUUUGUUCUCUUGGAAGAACAGAAAUUACUGCACACAGAAAAAGGUGCUCAGCAUGAGAGCUUGCUUUUCUGUGGACCGUGGGCUUGUGGCUCUGUCUGUGAUUGCACACAGAACAGACGCAUAUUUUCUGCUCGUCAAGAUGCUCACGUGCUUGGUGGGAUGAAACAGAUCAGAGUUCCAGGCGCUUUCUCGGCACAGAGCAUCCCAGCGUCUGGCUAUUUCCCCGAGAGUCUUUGCGGCUGGCUACCAUGCUGAAGACUCUCCCAGCUUCCUGGCUGUGAGUCUGUGCAUGCUAAAGAGGUAUGGCCAAGCUCUUAGCCAAGAACAUUGCAAAACACAAAGCCGGGGGCACCUCAGGGCCUCGUUGUACAAAUGAGGCCUUGUGCCCAGGAUGACUCCAGUUGGGGUAAGCAGGUACCAUCCAGAGAGUGAGACCAAGCCAAAGCUCUGCGGGCACCACCACGGCCUCCCUGCUCGGUGGUCAGGUGGUCAUCUGUUCCAGGGUCGGCCCCUGCCUCUUCCCAGUUCCUCUGCUCCUUUUUUCAUUUGGGAAAUUAUUUCUGAAGGUGUCCACAUUUGAAUUUAUUGCUCUGAGCGGAGUUUUGAAUAAAGCCUUCUACCAAUAAAGUUGCUACCUUUGACCGAUGAAGAGGUUUAUUGCACUGGGUGGACAUUCUGAAUUACUGAAGCUGGUAUAAAAAUAUGAAGUUUUUGAAAAUAUAAAGCAAAGUCCCUCAGCUUCCCGGGGACCGAGCUUGACACACUCUAGCUGUGUUGCCACCAUUUGAGGACAGACCUUUCGAAUGGCCCAAGUUGGAGACACACACACACACACACACACACACACACAGCAAGGUACAGGAAGCCAUGCCUCUGUGUCUAAGGGCUGGACUGGAUGGAUGCACAGUCCCCAGGACCAGGAGGACACUCUGCUGGGCUCUGCUGAGCCCUCCUGCUGUGUGCCUAGGGACCUGCGCUGGACAAGGCCACGCCUCAGAAGGGAGAGGCACAGUGGUGGAGCACAACAGAAAAAGACUGGCCCAGCGAGGUCAGAGCUAUUAGCCGUGGGCUUCCCACAAGUCAUGCCAUCUCUCUGGCCACACUCCCUUUAAUCGCACAAUCAGGAAUUUGAGCUAGAUGACUUCAAGCAUCACUUCACCUCUAAAAUUCUAAGAUAUCCUUUUGGGAUUUUUGACUGGAAGCCAUUCAUUUCCUAUAUAAACCUAAUUCCAUGAGAAUUAAAAGUAGAAUGCACUGCCUAUUAAUUUUUAAUGGAAAUGUUUACAGAGAAGAUAAAAUGAAUUUUUCUCAUGGGAAGUUCUCUUACACUGUUGAAGCAUAUGCCAAAAAAGAAAGUGGAAAUUGGCCAUAAAACAGUGAAUCUUUUCCUCUUUAUACGUUGUGCAGAAAGAUGAUUUUGGAAUGCUGUUUCUUUGGAUAAAUGGCUCCAACCUCCAGAUAACCCUAGGUGGCCUGAAAUUUCACCCUUCUGUGGGUAACUUUCCUAUGACCAGAAACAGAUGCCUGAAAUCCUUGUUUCUUAUUGUCUAUUUAUUCAUGUAUAGACAUCAACUUCAAAGACCCUGCUCAGAGGCUCGCAGCUUACUUUAAGUUGAACUAUUAGUUCAUUGUCUAUUACCAUAACGAAAUACCCGGGUCUAUUACUUUAUUUAAGCUCACAACUUUGAAGAAGUUGUGAAAAAAAAGUCUGACCACCAUGGUACUGGCUCUGUUGAGGACAACCAUGGUUGCAUCACAUCAUGGCAGAUGGCAUCAUGGCAGGAUGACCUGCAAGGAUCAUGUGGUGAGACAGGAAGCCAGAGCUACCAGGGAGAGAUCAGUAACAACCUCUCUCUAGGUCCCACCAUUUAAAGUUUUCACCACCCCUUAAGAUCAGUACAUUGGGACCAAUCUUCCAACACUAGAACCUUUGGUAACACACUCAAGCCAUACACAAACACUAGCAAACAGUCUGAGGACACUUUGAACCAUAAUCGUUUAAACUGUAAAACACUACUCACUCGUGUCCGUCAACAAGAGAACUAGUAGAGCUGCAGAAGCUAUUUAGUGGAGGGCUGAGCUUUGAAACAACCCAGGAGCGUCUGAAGAGUGACAGGGAACACUCAUGGGCUGUGUGGUAAUGAGAGACCCAAACACCAAGCACUCCACGGGUGCUGGGCUUGUCACUGAGGCCACUGUGGAGAAGUGGAUGUAGCCACGGAUGCGAGACUACACAAGGUGCAUGGAAGAGUGGGGGAACCAAAGAGCUGUCUCAAGACAACCACCUACAAGUCUUUGUUGGUGACAUUAGAGAAGACACAGAAGAACAUCACCUAUCAGGUCAUUUUGAACACUGUGGAAAAAUCAAAGUUACUGCAAUCAUAACUGAAUGAGGCAAUGGAAAGAAGAGGGGCUUUGCUUUUGUAAUUUUUGACGACCAUGCCUCCUUGGAUAGGAUUGUCAUUCAGAAACACCAUGCUAUGCAUGGCCACAACUGUGACAGGAGGCAAGCAAGAGAAAGCAGUGCUUCAUCUAGCCAAAGAGGUUAAGGUGGUUCUGGAAACUUUAGUGGGCAUGGAGGUUGUUUGGUGGCAAUCUGAGGAAUCCUCAGUGGCUGUGGUAGUGGAUAUGGUGGCCGCAGGGAUGGCUACCAUGGAUUUGGUAAUGAUGGAAGCAAGUUCAGAGGUAGUGAGAGCUACAGUGAUUUGGGCAAUUACAACAAAAGAGGAAACUUAGGAGGCAGAAGCUCUGGACCUUUUGGUGGUGAAGACCAAUACUUGGCCAUUCCAUGAAACCAAGUGGCUAUGGUGGUUCCAGCAGCAGCAGUAGCUGUGGUGGUGGCAGAAGGUUGUAAUGCUGCUAGGAAACAAAGCUUAGCAGGAAAGGAGAGCCAGAGAAGUGACCGGGAGGCUACAGGUUCCAACAGAUCUGUGAACUCAGCCAAGCACAGUGGUAGAGGGCCUCGCAGCCACCAAGAAGGGUUAGGCCACACAGGUUAUUCUCUUUUCUGUUCUUUGGAGGUGUAAAGCAUUCCAACAAAGCAUUUUAAUGUAGACUUUUUUGCACCCAUGCUGCUAAUUGCUAAAUGUGGUAGUCUGAUUAUGAUGCUGAAUAAGUGUGUCUUUUUAUACAAAUAAAAUAAAAAGGAAUGGACCUUUAAAACAUACUGAGCACCUGAAGACCACCUAAUAAGGCAAUCUACCACAUCACUUCACCAGCAAAAAACUCAAAACAAGACAGGUCUAAUCUUUGCAGAAAGAAAUCAGCAUUAGUGUUAGCUUGAAGAGGUCAGGCAGGAGAUGAGGGAAUCCCCUGAGCUGACGAAGGUGCUCUGCCUCUUGCUAGUGGGGGUGUUACAGAGGUGCAGAUGUUGCACCCCCAGAUGAGCUGUACAUUUAAGGUCUGUGAAGUUCACUGCAUGUAAAUCGUAUAUCAAUAAAGUUGUUCAUAGUUUUAAAAAUA